rnacentral:rRNA from 1 species
AGUGAACGCUGGCGGCAUGGUUAAGACAUGCAAGUCGAACGAGAAGCAAAACUUCGGUUUUGUGGACAGUGGCGAACGGGUGCGUAACACGUGAGCAACCUGCCCCUAAGUACGGAAUAGCCCACCGAAAGGUGGAUUAAUACCGCAUGUGUCCCUUUUUCGCAUGGAGAAGUGGAUAAAGCUUGUAAUGGCGCUUAGGGAUGGGCUCGCGGCCUAUCAGCUUGUUGGUGAGGUAACGGCUCACCAAGGCUAAGACGGGUAGCUGUUCUGAGAGGAUGAUCAGCCACACCGGGACUGAGACACGGCCCGGACACCUACGGGUGGCAGCAGUUUCGAAUCAUUCACAAUGGGCGAAAGCCUGAUGAUGCAAUGCCGCGUGGAGGAUGACGGCCUUAGGGUUGUAAACUCCUGUCAUUAGGGAACAACAAGUAGGUUCAUAGCCUACUCUGAGUUAACCUAAAGAGGAAGAGGUGGCUAACUCCGUGCCAGCAGCCGCGGUAAUACGGAGACCUCGAGCGUUACUCGGAUUUACUGGGCGUAAAGGGUGAGCAGGCGGCCAGGUGUGUUAGGUGUGAAAUCCCGAGGCUUAACCUCGGAACUGCGCCUAAAACUACCUGGCUAGAGUCUCGGAGAGGACAGUGGAAUUCUAGGUGUAGCGGUGAAAUGCGUAGAUAUCUAGAGGAACACCAGUGGCGAAGGCGACUGUCUGGACGAGUACUGACGCUCAAUCACGAAAGCGUGGGUAGCGAAAGGGAUUAGAUACCCCUGUAGUCCACGCCGUAAACGUUGUGCACUAAGUUUCGGAGGAUUCGACCCCUUCGGAGCUCAAGCUAACGCGUUAAGUGCACCGCCUGAGGACUACGGCCGCAAGGCUAAAACUCAAAGGAAUUGACGGGGGCCCGCACAAGCGGUGGAGCAUGUGGCUUAAUUCGAGGCAGCGCGAAGAACCUUACCUGGUCUUGACAUGCCCGUCAUAGUUUUCCGAAAGGAAUUCGUCAGUUCGGCUGGACGGUGCACAGGUGCUGCAUGGCUGUCGUCAGCUCGUGUCGUGAGAUGUUCGGUUAAGUCCGGCAACGAGCGCAACCCUCGUUUCCAGUUGCCAGCGGGUAAUGCCGGGGACUCUGGAAAGACAAACCUCUUGUUGAGGUGGGAAGGUGGGGACGACGUCAAGUCAGUAUGGCCCUUACGGGUUGGGCUACACACGUGCUACAAUGGUAGUGACAAUGGGU